rnacentral:rRNA from 1 species
UUGAACGCUGGCGGCAUGCUUUACACAUGCAAGUCGAACGGUAACGUGCCUUUAGGUUCGGAAUAGCUCCUGGAAACGGGUGGUAAUGCCGAAUGUGCCCUUCGGGGGAAAGAUUUAUCGCCUUUAGAGCGGCCCGCGUCUGAUUAGCUAGUUGGUGGGGUAAUGGCCCACCAAGGCUACGAUCAGUAGCUGGUCUGAGAGGAUGACCAGCCACAUUGGGACUGAGACACGGCCCAAACUCCUACGGGAGGCAGCAGUGGGGAAUCUUGCGCAAUGGGCGAAAGCCUGACGCAGCCAUGCCGCGUGUAUGAUGAAGGUCUUAGGAUUGUAAAAUACUUUCACCGGUGAAGAUAAUGACUGUAGCCGGAGAAGAAGCCCCGGCUAACUUCGU